rnacentral:misc_RNA from 1 species
CGCACAUUGCGCCCUCUGGCAUUCCGGGGGGCAUGCCUGUCCGAGCGUCAUUACAACCCCUCGAGCGCGGGCUCGGUGUUGGGCGGAGCGUCCGAGAGGACGGGCCGUCCCGAAAGACGUGGGCCGGCUCUCGUCGAAGCCAAGUCGCAGCGGAAUAAAUUUGCGACGGACGGAGACGAGGCCGCGCCCGACCUUUUUGUUACAAUCAGGUUGACCUCGGAUCAGGCAGGAAUACCCGCUGAACUUAA